GAACGAGAAAGUGGAGCAAUCCAUGAGUAAAGUGGCGACCGGGUGAGUAACACGUGACUAACCUGCCCUUGAGUGGGGGAUAACCUCGGGAAACCGGGGCUAAUACCGCAUAACAUCGCAAGAUCAAAGGAGCAAUCCGCUGAAGGAGGGGGUCGCGGCUGAUUAGCUAGUUGGUGAGGUAACGGCUCACCAAGGCGAAGAUCAGUAGCCGGCCUGAGAGGGCGCACGGCCACACUGGAACUGAAACACGGUCCAGACUCCUACGGGAGGCAGCAGUGGGGAAUUUUGCGCAAUGGGGGAAACCCUGACGCAGCAACGCCGCGUGGAGGAUGAAGUCCCNUUGGGAUGUAAACUCCUUUCGAUCGGGACGAUUAUGACGGUACCGGAAGAAGAAGCACCGGCUAACUCUGUG
rnacentral:rRNA from 1 species